GAGUGUUACCGCUCUUCUCGAAUUUGUCUAGCAGGCUUUCUGCUUUUUAUUGGAAAGUGCCCCC
rnacentral:snRNA from 2 species